rnacentral:rRNA from 1 species
GACGAACGCUGGCGGCGUGCUUAACACAUGCAAGUCGAGCGGAAAGGCGCCUUUUUGGGGUACUCGAGCGGCGAACGGGGGAGUAACACGUGAGCAAUCUGCCCUUCACUGCGGGAUAGCUCCGGGAAACCGGGAUUAAUACCGGAUGGGACACAUCCACGCAUGGAGUGUGUGUGGAAAGUUUUUGCGGUGGGGGAUGUGCUCGCGGCCUAUCAGGUUGUUGGUGGGGUAAUGGCCUACCAAGGCUUCGACGGGUAGCCGGCCUGAGAGGGUGACCGGUCACACUGGGACUGAGACACGGCCCAGACUCCUACGGGAGGCAGCAGUGGGGAAUAUUGGACAAUGGGCGGAAGCCUGAUCCAGCAACGCCGCGUGAGGGAUGACGGCCUUCGGGUUGUAAACCUCUUUCAGUGCCGACGAAGCCUCUUUUGGGGUGACGGUAGGUGCAGAAGAAGGACCGGCCAACUACGUGCCAGCCGCCGCAGUAA